rnacentral:rRNA from 1 species
GACGAACGCUGGCGGCGUGCUUAACACAUGCAAGUCGAACGAGUGGCGAACGGGUGAGUAAUACGUGGGUAACCUGCCCUCUUUUUGGGAUAAACCUUUGGAACGGGGUCCAAUACCCAAUAAAGGGGGAUGUGCUCGGGGCCUAUCAGCUGGUUGGGGGGGUGCUGGCCUACCAAGGCGGUGACGGGUAGCCGGGCUGAGAUGGUGAACGGCGACAUGGGGACGGGGCGACGGCCCAGACGACUACGGGAGGGAGCAGUGGGGGAUAUGGGACAAUGGGCGAAAGCCUGAUGCAGCGACGACGAGUGGGGGAUGAAGGUUUUAGGGUUGUAAAACUCGGUCGCAAUCGAACGGGUAGGUGGAGAAGAAGCGCCGGCUAACUACGUGCCAGCAGCCGCGGUAAUAC